GCCCAGAAGGCCCCCAUCAACCUUCUUGGCCUCUGUCUUUGCCCUUAUCUUUUUUCUUUCUUCCUUUGUUCCCCCAUUGCUCCUGUCUCUUCAAAGUCUUAUCUCGCCUCUAUGAUCCAGAUGCUCCCUCUACUGGUGAGAUGACGGAGUUGCCGGUCACUGUCGCCACUUCCACCUCAUUCCUCAUCAUCUUCUUCAAUGGGGAGCAGGA
rnacentral:lncRNA from 1 species